AUCUUUUUAUCCUCAUUUUUAAUUUUAAUAAUACUAAAUUUUCUUUUGUAUUAACUUUUAUUUGUUAAGUGUUAUAUAGUUUUUGAAAGAUUUGGUAAAUAUAUUUAAAGUUUUUCUUUUUCUAUGAUAUCUGUUUAAUAUGUCUAAUAUAUGCAAUAUACACCUAUUAAUCUCUUUACAUUAUUCUCUUUAGAUAUAUUAUAAAAUAGUAUUUAAAAUCAGUUGUCAGCCACAUGUGGUCUAUAUGAUGCAACAUGUUUGCAAUUGUUGGCAUGUCAUUUAAAAAUUUCAAUGCUGAUAAAACUGAAUUUAAAAAAAAAAAAGAGUAUUUCCAGCCUUCCAACCAAAUAUUAGAGACUUUUACAAAAGCACUCUCACAAAAUAAUGCUUUUAUAAUCAAUUUAAAAGUCUUUCAAAUCGUUAAUCAUUUUCUAAAGGCG